rnacentral:rRNA from 1 species
AUUGAACGCUGGCGGCAUGCCUUACACAUGCAAGUCGAACGGUAACGGGCCUUCGGGUGCCGACGAGUGGCGAACGGGUGAGUAAUGUAUCGGAACGUACCUUUCAGUGGGGGAUAACGUAGCGAAAGUUACGCUAAUACCGCAUAUUCUGUGAGCAGGAAAGCAGGGGAUCGCAAGACCUUGCGCUGAUUGAGCGGCCGAUAUCAGAUUAGCUAGUUGGUGAGGUAAAGGCUCACCAAGGCGAAGAUCUGUAGCGGGUCUGAGAGGAUGAGUACACCACACUGGAACUGAUACACGGUCCAGACUCGUACGGGAGGCAGCAGUGGGGAAUUUUGGACACUGGGGACAACCCUGAUCCAGCCAGGACGCGUGAGUGAAGAAGGCCUUCGGGUUGUAAAGCUCUUUCGGCCGGGAAGAAAUCGUAUCAGCUAAUACCUGGUGCGGAUGACGGUACCGGCAUAAGAAGCACCGGCUAACUACGUGCCAGCCGCCGCGGUAAAAC